GUUGUGGUUUUGUACUGUUUAUGAUAUCUAUUCCUGCGAAUAUUCACUGACGUUAUUUAAAUGAAUUAAACUGAUCAAUCCCUCAGCCGCCAAUAACAUUAGCACAUAUGGAAACACUGUGGUUGCAGCGAGUGAAGAAAAUGAUGAAGAGGACUAUGUCAACGUAGAAACCUUUGUCAAAAAUAGAAAAUAUGAAGACCUGAAAAAAGGAUGCGAUGCAGAAAUGUAUAUGAAAAAGGAGUUGCUUACCACUAAAAAUAAUGAGAAUGCUCCAGGAUCCAUGAACAAGUGUGGAAACAACCAAAGUGAAGGGCCAGAGGCAAGUGAGGAAGAUGAGUCCGACUAUGAAAAUGCAGAUAUCUUCACAGAGAGGGAUUUUGCUGAAGACAUCUAUGAUGAAGACAGUGAGUCUUUAGACCUGGAGCUGCUCACUUCAUGUAAAUCUGGAAGGGAGAAUGACUAUGAAGAGGAUGACAACAUAUACGCAAACUAUGAGUGAAGGCCUUGUAAUACGAAUGCUGAUGCAGAGAUAUUGAUACCAGGAGAGGCAUGAAAGGUUUGCUUUGUGAGUUGAAUUAUAAGGGCUUAAAAAAACAACUUUUUCAUAAAAAUGUUCACUUAGUAGAUAAGAGGUAAGGUUUGUUUGAAUAUGAAUUAGAAUUCCAAUGUAAAUAGUUUGCGUGUUUGAUUUCCAGUUGUAUUGUUGCCAGGUAAUUAUAU
rnacentral:lncRNA from 1 species